UACAUAGGGCGCAAGCGUUGUCCGGAUUCACUGGGUGUAAAGGGUGCGUAGGCGGGAGAGUAAGUCCGCGGUGAAAUCUCACAGCUCAACUGUGAAACUGCCGUUGAUACUGCUUUUCUUGAGUUCGGGAGAGGUUGAUGGAAUUCCAGGUGUAGCGGUGAAAUGCGUAGAUAUCUGGAAGAACACCAGUGGCGAAGGCGGUCAACUGGCCCGUAACUGACGCUGAGGCACGAAAGCGUGGGUAGCGAACAGG
rnacentral:rRNA from 1 species